UACGGAGGAUGCGAGCGUUAUCCGGAUUUAUUGGGUUUAAAGAGUGCAUAGGCGGACUGUCAAGUCAGCGGUAAAAUUGAGAGGCUCAACCUCUUCCCGCCGUUGAAACUGGUGGUCUUGAGUGGAUGAGAAGUACGCGGAAUGCGUGGUGUAGCGGUGAAAUGCAUAGAUAUCACGCAGAACUCCGAUUGCGAAGGCAGCGUACCGGCAUCCAACUGACGCUGAGGCACGAAAGCGUGGGGAUCAAACAGG
rnacentral:rRNA from 1 species